rnacentral:lncRNA from 1 species
UUUCCAGGGGCCAGGGUCACACGUAAUGCAGAACUGAGCCACCCUUUUAAGGACUUUCCCCACUUGGUUUUUUUUUUUUUUUCUAUAAUUAUUAUCAUUAUUAUUAUUUUUUUUAUGACUUGUCUAACCUCCAUGUAAAUCAACCUUUGUUAGGUUGUUGGGGUCCAUUCUGUUGUGACAAUUUGUAGGUACCGGGUAUUUCCAUCAGAACUGACAUAUGAAUCCUUAUGUGAAGCUUCUAGCGCCUCUGUCAGAGGAAUGGACGGUGAGACCCAACUCUUCUGACAUCCAUGGCCUUCUCUACUUGGACCAGAUCUGGUUUCAGCUGCAUUUCAAGAGGACGGAGUUCUCUGUCUCCGUCCUGGAAUGGAGUCACACUGGGCUCUGAGGAGAAGCAGCAGAGAAUUGGACUACAUCGUGGGCAUUCUGUCCAGCAUGUACAUCGUGCCAGAGCUGAAAUACAAACAGUCAUAGAACAUUGUUUCAAAAGGUAUUUGCUGCAGCAUAAUUUGUAAGAGUUCAAAGUUAAUAAUGGAACACACCCCAAAAUAGAUGCAGCCAUUAAAAGGAUGGUUGCAAAGACCAUGAUAGUAACAGAGAAAAAAAGCUUAAAACACAAUGUUUUAUGGAAACAAAAGGAGAAAAAUAUAUGUAAAGUAUAUAUGAAUCUUUACUGAUAUAAAUAGAUGAUAGAAUAAAUAAAUAAGAAGAGACA